rnacentral:rRNA from 1 species
AACGAACGCUGGCGGCAUGCCUAACACAUGCCAGUCGAACGAGACCUUCGAGUCUAGUGGCGCACGGGUGCGUAACGCGUGGGAACCUGCCCUUAGGUUCGGAAUAACUCCCCGAAAGGGGUGCUAAUACCGGAUAAUGUCUUCGGACCAAAGAUUUAUCGCCUUUGGAUGGGCUCGCGUUGGAUUAGCUAGUUGGUAGGGUAAAAGCCUACCAAGGCGACGAUCCAUAGCUGGUCUGAGAGGAUGAUCAGCCACACUGGGACUGAGACACGGCCCAGACUCCUACGGGAGGCAGCAGUGGGGAAUAUUGGACAAUGGGCGAAAGCCUGAUCCAGCAAUGCCGCGUGAGUGAUGAAGGCCUUAGGGUUGUAAAGCUCUUUUACCCGGGAUGAUAAUGACAGUACCGGGAGAAUAAGCUCCGGCUAACUCCGUG